UAUUUUAUAUCUAAAAGUCAUUUCAUAGUUAUAAAGUCAAUUUCUUAAUGUUAUAUUGAUGUGAGUUAUGGAAUACCUUAGUCUCCAAAGAGUCAAGUUAAAGAUAUAUUUCUUAAUAUGGCAAAAAACACGCACAUUCCUCGCUGUUGAUCUCUAAAAAUAAUUUGUGAUUUGAGUCCAUGACCACCAGGUUCUAAUAGUGGAAUAUCUGGAGUUAGAUAAGAGAAGGGGCUGGUUUGUGAGACUGAGAAUCCUAUUGGUGUUCCAAGCGUUGCGCUCAUUGUGUAGGUAGUUUCCAUUUUAUCUCAGUAUGAGGUUGUCAUCACUUCUAAAAUGUUCCUAGUGGCUUUGACCCCAGGCUUCAAUGACGAAAAUAUGCUUUCAGAAAGGAUUCUUCACCCACACACUAUAUAUAGCAUGUCUUCAGAAAUUCCAAGAAGAGAAGAGAAGGACCACAUUCCACAUAUUCAGGUGUUAGAGGUCCUACAGAUACUACAUUGGAGGUACUACAGAGUCCAUUGUCUUUACCAGACUGCUAAAGGGCUCCCAUUACAAGCCCCAUCUCCCCCCAAAAGGACCUGGGAUCUGAUCAACCUACACAGAUAUACUUCUGAAGAACUCCAGCUUCCUUUGUUUUCUCCCAUGACCAUGAAACAGUAUAAGCCCCAAUGUUCAAUAGUCACUUAUGGCCAAUCCAAAUAGUCCUGACCAGCUCCUUGUUAUGUUAGACUUGUGGAAUCAGGCCAAAUAAAAAUUCAAGUGUCUAUGUCA
rnacentral:lncRNA from 1 species